rnacentral:rRNA from 1 species
GAUGAACGCUGGCGGCGUGCCUAAUACAUGCAAGUCGAGCGAACAGACGAGGAGCUUGCUCCUCUGACGUUAGCGGCGGACGGGUGAGUAACACGUGGAUAACCUACCUAUAAGACUGGGAUAACUUCGGGAAACCGGAGCUAAUACCGGAUAAUAUAUUGAACCGCAUGGUUCAAUAGUGAAAGACGGUUUUGCUGUCACUUAUAGAUGGAUCCGCGCCGCAUUAGCUAGUUGGUAAGGUAACGGCUUACCAAGGCAACGAUGCGUAGCCGACCUGAGAGGGUGAUCGGCCACACUGGAACUGAGACACGGUCCAGACUCCUACGGGAGGCAGCAGUAGGGAAUCUUCCGCAAUGGGCGAAAGCUUGACGGAGCAACGCCGCGUGAGUGAUGAAGGUCUUCGGAUCGUUAAACUCUGUUAUUAGGGAAGAACAAAUGUGUAAGUAACUAUGCACGUCUUGACGGUACCUAAUCAGAAGGCCACGGCUAACUACGUG